AUGGGUUACUAUCUUUUUAUUUUGUCCUAUCGUCUUUCCACAGACGGGAGGAGGUUGUUGACAGAUGGAUGUCAAGGUUCUGUUCGUAACCUCGGGCCGUGGAUGCUGCUGACGCUGCCUUAUACCAGCUGCCACUUGGCAUUAUGGGUUUCAAAUGGAACCUGGUUUCGUCAGCUGAGACUUCGUUACUUUGACCAUCUGCUGCAGGCAAACGUAACUGGUCUGGCCACCUGUGAGAAUCCUGCAACAUCCCUGCAACUGAUGCCACCGUUGGUGACUUGCAGAACAACAGAUGUCACUGUGAAACUGCCUCUUGGAACCAGACUGAAGAGGGUAAAAUCUCUGGGUAAAGAUGGUGUAGUUCGGCAGGCAAUCACAACAAUGACUCCAGGAGCAGUGUAUGUGCAGAUCCCAACCCCAGCAGACUUGGAUUCAAUCUUUGAAGUGAUUUAUUUAGACUCUGCUGGGAAAACAUCCACGAUGCUGGCAGCUUGUUCCACUGCAGCAACACAAACUAGGCGGGAUCGACACCCAAGAGCUCUCCAAAACCCCAACCUGUGGGAGCUUUGGGACUUUGAGCAAGUUCUAGUGGAGCCCGUCAUCCAGGAACCGACGGAGCCCAGUGGGUUCCGGAAUGACGAAGUGACUGAUGCUGACACAGAAAUCUUUGAGUUGUGGGGAUUUGAUGAAAUUCCUGAAGGGCCGUAUACCGGAAUCGACACCCCUGGCGCCCCGACGACUACCACCAGUACCAGCACCACCACCACUUGCGCCCCGACGACGACGACCACCACCACCACCACCACUUGCGCCCCGACGA
rnacentral:lncRNA from 15 species